UACGUAGGGGGCAAGCGUUGUCCGGAUUUAUUGGGCGUAAAGAGCUCGUAGGUGGUUCGGUAAGUCGGACGUGAAAUCUCCACGCUCAACGUGGAGGGGCCGUUCGAUACUGUCGUGACUCGAGUCCGGUAGGGGAGUGUGGAAUUCCCGGUGUAGCGGUGAAAUGCGCAGAGAUCGGGAGGAACACCCGUAGCGAAGGCGGCACUCUGGGCCGGUACUGACGCUGAGGAGCGAAAGCGUGGGGAGCAAACAGG
rnacentral:rRNA from 1 species